AUUGAUGAUAGCCUAAUGUGUUCAAUUUACAGGUUGUUGCUCAUCUUCUGAAACCACGUGGUUGGAAACCCCCUGUACGCAGGCAGUUCUUCUUAGAUUGUAAUGAGAUCUCUGAGCUUUGUGAUAGUGCUAAAAGAAUAUUCACUAGUGAGCCAACUGCUCUACAAAUUAAAGCUCCUGUCAAAAUCUUUUGUGAUUUACAUGGUCAGUUUGGGGAUCUCAUGCGCUUGUUUGAUGAGUAUGGUGCUCCUUCAACGGUAGGGGACAUUUCUUAUAUUGAUUAUCUCUUUUUGGGUGAUUACGUUGAUCGUGGCCAACAUAGCCUGUAAACUAUUACUCUUCUCCUUGCAUUGAAGGUAUUACUUUCCCCUCAAGCUUGUCAAUGUGAUCAGUCUUAUCCAAGCAAAUAUUUUUAUGAAAAUAUUUAGCAUCAAAGAAUUCUUGAAGAUUGAAUAUCCACAUAAUAUACAUUUAAUUCGUGGAAACCAUGGGGCAACAGACAUUAAUGCUUUAUUUGGGUUUCGUACCGAGUGCAUCGAGAGAAUGGGAGAACAAGACGGAAUCUGAG